rnacentral:misc_RNA from 1 species
UACAAGAGCAUGUGAAGCAGCACGUAGAAGUGGUGCAUUGGUUGCAAUCACAGCUUCAGAUAUGUCCUGCAUCGAGAGACAUUAUGAUGAUUUCUGGUAAGCUGCGUGAUUCUGUUGAUUAUGUUAUAGUUCAUUUGGUUUUUGAAUUUUACUCUUGUUUUGUUGGAGGAAUUAGGAAUUGCACUGCCAGAUAAAACAAAAAAAAUUGUUUAAUGAACAAGUGUGAUUGAAGUAGUCUCAAAGAGUGUUCGAUUGAAAGACAAUCACCAUAUCAAGUUUUUGUG